CGCACAAAAGGAACGGGUGGGGACACAGGGCCCCUGCAGCCUCAGGAGGAUCAGCAGCGGCCUGGUUUGCUCGUCUCGUCAUUCGUCGUGGGCAUCUUGUCCCCGGGGCCGGCCAGUUACUUGAAUUCCUGGCCCAUCAUCCUGCCGGAAGCAUCUCCAGCUUGGGGAUGUUGGAGGGGCCCUGGCCCCACCUGGCUGGGGAUGGAGUGUAAGCCGAGGAGAUGCCAUGUGAGGGUGCAGCGAGGAGUCGGGCUGUCUAGAACAAAGAAAGAUUUCAUCAGACACUGCAUCUGCUGACACCUUGUUCUUGGACUUCCAGCUUCCAAAACCUCGAGAAAUAAAUGUCUGUGUCUAACCCCCAACCCUACCACCUCAC
rnacentral:lncRNA from 1 species